AAGACAGAUGACUGAUAUAUAUACUGUNAUAGAAAAAGAUAGAUUUGACCAAAUGAAAGCUUAAAGUAUAAAUAGAAAACAAAAAGGCAGACAACAAAUUUGGAAAAAAUCUUCAACAAUGUGACAAAUGAUUGACAUUUGGUAUAUGAAGUUUAUAAAUCAAUAAGAAAACAAUACAACAGAAAGGAAAUGGACAAGAGGCAUUGACCAAUCAAAUUUCAAGAGUAAAUGGCCAAAAAGUCUAGAGUAGGGGAGAAAGAAAAAUGUUUAGCCUUACUGUAAUCAGAUGACAAAUGGCCUUGAGCAAGAAGAGUGAUGCUGGGUACAUCACAAUACCUGAUCUCGAGUCACACUACAGAGCUAUGGGAAUAGCAUGGUAGUGACAUCAAAAUAGACACAAAGACCAAUGGAACAGAAUAGAAGACACAAAGACAACUCACAUGGAGUCAUCUGACAAAGUCAUUUGACAAAGAUGCCAGAAAUAUAUGUUAGAGAAAAUAUAAGCCCCAUCCUUUUCUUUUGUACUGGGGAUUAAAUCUAGAGGUGUUUAAACACUGAGCAACCUCCCCAGCCCUUUUAAAAUAUUUAGAGACAGGGUCACACUGAGUUACUUAGGGCCUUGCUAAAUUUCUAAGACUGGCUUUGAGCUGGCAAUCCUACUUCCUCAACCUCCCGAGCUGCUGGGAUUACAGGCAUGUACCACCCAGCCUGGCAAGAUAGCUUUUUUAAACAAAUGGUACUGGGGAUACUGGAUAUCCUCAUAUAGAAAAAUGAAACUAGAUCUCUAUUUCUCACCCUGCAUAAUAAUCACAUCAAAGUGGAUCAAGGACUUAGAAGUAAAAUCAGAAACUUUGCAACUGCUAGAAGAAAACAUAGGGUCAAUACUUCAACAUAUUGGUGCAGGCACCAACUUGCUUAACAAAACCGUGAAAUAUAAGACAUAAAACCAAGAACCAGUAAGUGAGACAUCAUCAAAUUAAAAAGCUUCUGCACAGGAGAGGAAAUGAUAAUGAGCAUGAAGAGAGAGGCUAAAAGAGAAAUUUUUGCCAGCUAUUCCUCUGACAGGGGACUAAUAUCUAGAAUAUAUAAAGAACUCAAAAAGUUUAACACCAAAAAAUCCUCAAAACAAAUAAAAACAAUAAUGAAAAUCCAACAACACAAUUGAUAAAUAGGCAAAAGAACUAAACAGACAUAUUUUUCUUUGUUCUUUUUAGAUACACAUGACAGUAGAGUGUAUUUUGACCUGUUAUACAUACAUAGAGUAUAACUUAUUCUAAUUAGGAUCCCAUUGUUGUGGUUGUACAUGAUGUGGAGCUAAACAGACAUUUCUGAAAAGCAGCACCAAAGACCAACAUAUACAUUAAAAAAUGUUCAAUAUCCCUAGCAAUCAGGGAAAUGUAAGUCAAAACUACAUUGAUUUCAUCUCACUCCAGUCAGAAUAGCAAUGACCAAGAAUAUGAACAACAAACGUGGGUGAGGUUGUGAGGAAAUAGGUAUGCUUGUACAUUGUGGGUGGGACUGUAGACUAGUACAACCACUCUGGAAAGCAGUAUGGAUAUUCCUCAAAGUAUCCAAGAAUGGAACCACCAUAUGACCCAGCAAUCCCACUUCUUGGUAUUUUCCCAAAAGAUCUAGAAUUGUCAUACUAUAGCAAUACAGGCAUCUACAUGUUUAUAGUGGCACAAUUCAUAAUAGCUAAAUUAUGGAAUAACCCAGAUGCCCAUCAAUAGAUGAAUGGAUUAAGAAUUUGUAUAUAUAUGUGUAUGUGUGUGU
rnacentral:lncRNA from 1 species